rnacentral:rRNA from 1 species
UUGAACGCUGGCGGCAUGCUUUACACAUGCAAGUCGAACGGUAACAGGCCGCAAGGUGCUGACGAGUGGCGAACGGGUGAGUAAUGCAUCGGAACGUGCCCGAUCGUGGGGGAUAACGCAGCGAAAGCUGCGCUAAUACCGCAUACGAUCUGAGGAUGAAAGCGGGGGACCGUAAGGCCUCGCGCGAUCGGAGCGGCCGAUGUCAGAUUAGGUAGUUGGUGGGGUAAAGGCUCACCAAGCCGACGAUCUGUAGCUGGUCUGAGAGGACGACCAGCCACACUGGGACUGAGACACGGCCCAGACUCCUACGGGAGGCAGCAGUGGGGAAUUUUGGACAAUGGGCGCAAGCCUGAUCCAGCAAUGCCGCGUGCAGGAAGAAGGCCUUCGGGUUGUAAACUGCUUUUGUACGGAGCGAAAAGGCCCUCUCUAAUACAGGGGGUUCAUGACGGUACCGUAAGAAUAAGCACCGGCUAACUACGUG